UUGUUGUCCGUCAGUCAGUAUACAAACAUUUUUUUUCACUACGUUCAGCAAACGAAAAAUAUAAACAAUCGAAAAAUAAUAAAAUUUUACAAAUAAAUUAAUACAAAAUUGCAAAGAAUAGCAAAAAGAAAGUAUACCGUGGAAGAAAGAAACAAUUACGUUGUGCUUGCUAGAAGAAAUUCUCCUUUAGAAGAAGUUUACUACUAAUUUGCUACUUAAAAUGGAUUCCAAACAAAAAUUGAAACGUUUCUGCUUUUUGGGCUCCUUUGAACCUGUAUACAUCCAUCUGCGGGGUUCUCUUAAAGUGGAAACUUAUUGGCCUGUGGUUUCAGAGCUUGUUAAAGAUAUAAAUGAUAGUGAAUUUCUUCCUUUUAUAAAAGAGCUCUUGCAUGACGUUUCAUUAGUGCGCCGUGAUGAGGUUAGUAUGAGAUAAGUG